GGGGGUGACUUGGUUUCGACUGGAAUAGUCGGGGCUAUGUGCAUGUCGGACUGGGCAAUUCCGUUACGCGGCCCAACGCGAACAAACGCAAACAAUACAGAUUAUCGUCCAGCUUACGCUGUAGCGUAAGUUUAACUAACUUUGGACUGCCCUGCCGGCGAGUGUCAUCUUAGCCGGAUCUUUGGGUAUCAUAUCUGAUGACUAUAUCUGCAAGAAGCCAUGCUUGCAGACGAAUCUUUUGGCUGGUUGUGUGUAGUUUUGGGUGUUGUACGAAACACAACGAGAUCUAUCAACACCGACUAAGCAUGUAGAGUCAUAGUCCUAGCUAUUUUAGGACAGGGGUUCAAUUCCCCUCACCUCCACCA
rnacentral:tmRNA from 1 species